rnacentral:rRNA from 1 species
CCUACGGGAGGCAGCAGUGGGGAAUAUUGCACAAUGGGGGAAACCCUGAUGCAGCGACGCCGCGUGAGUGAAGAAGGAAUUCGUUAUGUAAAGCUCUAUCAGCAGGGAAGAAAAUGACGGUACCUGAGUAAGAAGCCCCGGCUAACUACGUGCCAGCAGCCGUGGUAAUACGUAGGGGGCAAGCGUUAUCCGGAUUUACUGGGUGUAAAGGGAGCGUAGACGGCAGUGCAAGUCUGGAGUGAAAGGCGGGGGCUCAACCCCCGGACUGCUCUGGAAACUGUACGGCUGGAGUGCAGGAGAGGUAAGUGGAAUUCCUGGUGUAGCGGUGAAAUGCGUAGAUAUUAGGAGGAACACCAGUGGCGAAGGCGGCUUACUGGACUGUAACUGACGUUGAGGCUCGAAAGCGUGGGGAGCGAACAGGAUUAGAUACCCCUGUAGUC